rnacentral:misc_RNA from 1 species
GAUGAAGAACGUAGCGAAAUGCGAUAAGUAGUGUGAAUUGCAGAAUUCAGUGAAUCAUCGAAUCUUUGAACGCACAUUGCGCCCUUUGGUAUUCCUUAGGGCAUGCCUGUUCGAGCGUCAUUUAAACCUUCAAGCUCAGCUUGGUGUUGGGUGACUGUCCGCUUCACCGCGGACUCGCCUCAAAAUUAUUGGCGGCCGGUACAUUGGCUUCGAGCGCAGCAGAAACGCGAACUCGGGCCCGUCGUAUUGGCUCCCAGAAGCUAUCUUCACAAUUUUGACCUCGGAUCAGGUAGGGAUACCCGCUGAACUUAAGCAUAUCAUAAGCGGAGGA